rnacentral:rRNA from 1 species
CGGAGGAUGCGAGCGUUAUCCGGACUUAUUGGGUUUAAAGGGUGCGUAGGCGGGAUCUUAAGUCCGCGGUAAAAAUGCGGGGCCCAACCCCGUAGUGCCGUUGAAACUGAGAUUCUUGAGUGGGCGAGAAGUAUGCGGAAUGCGUGGUGUAGCGGUGAAAUGCAUAGAUAUCACGCAGAACUCCGAUUGCGAAGGCAGCAUACCGGCGCCCAACUGACGCUGAGGCACGAAAGCGUGGGGAUCG